UACGUAGGGCGCAAGCGUUGUCCGGAAUUAUUGGGCGUAAAGAGCUCGUAGGCGGCUUGUCACGUCGGGUGUGAAAGCCCGGGGCUUAACCCCGGGUCUGCAUUCGAUACGGGCUAGCUAGAGUUCGGUAGGGGAGACUGGAAUUCCUGGUGUAGCGGUGAAAUGCGCAGAUAUCAGGAGGAACACCGGUGGCGAAGGCGGGUCUCUGGGCCGAUACUGACGCUGAGGAGCGAAAGCGUGGGGAGCGAACAGG
rnacentral:rRNA from 1 species